CCCAGGCCUAAUGCAGAGAAUGUAUUUGGCAUAUAUUUGAGCCAGGUCCAUGUCGUAUGAGAUGCGAUUGAGGCUCUCCUUACUGUUUUCCAUGGGCUUCUUAAUCAUAUCAAAAUAUUUAUUGUAUCUUUCUUUCAUAUCAAGAAAAGAAAUAUUUCUUUCGUAUUGUUGUGUUAUAAAUUAAAUAAACAAAUCGGUUUGCAAUUUGAAAUCAUUUCUUUUGUAACUGUUUGACAUUGUUGUUACAUAUUUAUCACUUUUCUCUUUUAAUAAUUGUUAUAUUUUCAUAUAAACAUGAAAUUUCAUUAUAUUGUUUAUGUUCUCUCUAAAUCCGAAACGAGAUUUGAUAAUAUUUGUGGUGGAUCUAAAAAGCUCUCUUCAAUAUAAAUCAAGAAUGGUUCAAAGAUAAAAGAACAAAAAAAAUUAUAAAGACUUUUGUAGAUCCACAACAAAUAUUCGUACGAAUCACACGGCAAAGGAAUUUUAACCGAGAUGGAGUUAUGAGCUUCAUCCAAAAUGAAUGUUUUGUAUACAGAUGAAUUAUUAUCACCCAUAAUUUCAUUUCUAACGCAAAAUAACUUCGAAAACAUCUUAUACAAUAAAACAGACUUGCAUCUCUCCUCAUUAAGCCACGUCAUCAGGUAGGAGAGGGCAAAUCUCGACACGUGUCAACACCUGGGUUGUUCUGUGUUUUUUUUUUCUUGGUUUUGUUUCUUACGUUGUCUGAUACGGAAGUUGAUACGAAAGUGUGAACUGGGCUUUAUAGUAUUUGUGCAUGAAGCCCAGAGUGGAGCCCAGUCUUCUUCACGCUGUCUCAACCCACAAGUGGUUUAGGGUUUUCUCCUAGAGUAACUUACUUGAGCUUGGGGUAUAAAUAUCUCCUUCAUCCAGAAAUGAAGAUUCGAGCUUUGACAACAACCAAAUACUAUGUUCAACUUUCCGGUUAUUACAAUGGCGAAUCUCCAAAUGUUUCUUGCCGAUUUGAGAGGACAAUAGCAUCCAUUUCAAUAGCAACUAGCUAUCCUCUUGGCUCGAUGCCAGGAUUAGUUAAUCAUUAUCAAAGGGUUGAACGUGGUUCUGAUGUCAGUUUGCACGGAUUAUCGUCUACGGAGGCAGGAACAACCAGAAAAGGCAAAGAAAAUUGAAGGAGGAACAGCUUCCUCGCCAUAGAUGUGAGUGAUGAUGAGUACAAUGAGUAUGGUGUAUACCAGACUGAUAUUGAUACUAGCUGCUCUCCUCAAGGUAAUCAAUAUUAUGGCCCAAUGGAAUAUGAGGAGACAAGCAUAGGUGAUGGCCCCUGUAAGCAUCUUAGUGGCGAAACCCAAGAUUGCAUAUAUAUACAAGAAAGCUUUGUAUUUACCUCUUUUGGGAAGGUAACGAAAGAGAGAAUCUGUUUUGUUUUAACCAAAGCAGGUUUCUUCACUUAACUUUUAAGCAAAUCAUGUUUCUUCAGUGUUCAUAGUGGCUGUGACUGUGAUUCUUGUCUGAAUCUGUUUUAUUUCUUCUUUACAUCAUCAACUCUCAAAGCAUUUAGCUCCCCAGUUUUGUCUGAAUUUGUCCUUUCUUAGUUCGCUUUUUUCCAGGAAGGUAAAGACAAAAUAUUAUCUUCACACUCCCAUAACUUCCAUAAACGAGAUUGGAGUAGCAGAAGCAAUAAAUAUAGUCACAUCAAUUGCUUUCUUGAUAGCUUUUGCUAUACUCAGGAUUCAACCAGUAAACGACAUAGCCUACUUCCCUAAAUGGUAUCUCAAGGGCCUAAGAACUAGCUCCAUACAAACUGGUGGCUUUGGAAGCAAGUUCAUCAACUUGGACUUCAUGUCCUAUGUUUGAUUCCUCAACUGGAUGCCUGAAGCACUUCAAAUGCCAGAACCAGAGCUCGUCAGGUCUCGAUUCUGUUGUCUACUUGAGGAUUUAUGUACUCGGGUACAUAUAUAAGUAAAACCUCACAAAGCUCUUCUCUUUUCUCCAAAGCCCUUUACUUGACACCAUGGUUUUAACUUGCAGGUUCAAGAAUUUUUCCCCAUAGCUUGCGUUGCUUUUACAACAAUGGUGCAUGUUAAUUGGAAAAACAAGGGACUAGAUGGAUUAAAACACUCUAAUAUAAGCUACAGUGAUAUUGAUAAGCUUUCAUUGUCAAAUAUACCAAAUGGAUCAGACAUGUGAGCUAUACAUUUCCCAGAGUUUGGUUCUUUUUCUUCUUUGUUCCAUUAGUGUAAUGGUUAUUCAUUUUCCUAUAGAUUUUGGGUGCAUCUGUGUAUGGCUUAUGCAAUCACCUUCUGGACAUGCUUAAUGCUGAAAAGAGAGUAUUAGAAUA